ensembl:ncRNA F35B12.17 ncRNA
GACGGACCACAAUAUGUCCCUGGAGAGCCGUUGUCCAUUGCCUGAACUAUUAGUCGGCACCAGUACAACCUUACGG